AGACGAAUGAAUUUUCAAAAAAAUUAAAAUUAUUAAAAAAUAGAGGAAUUUUUUUGGUAGAAAUAAUGACAAAUACUUUGUAUUUUAACCGUUGGAUUAAAUUUGAUGGUGUUGAUUAACUGUAAUUUUAUAAUUUUAUAGAAAAAAUUUAAAAUUCUACGGUUGUAAGUAACUUAUUUUAAAAAAAAUGGAUUAGAUUAAUUGAAAUGGAGUGGAAUUGUGUGAGAUCCCUUGUGUUCAGCUGUGGAGGCUUGCCGACAGCUCUGGAGAGUGUCAGGACAAGUCCGAGUCGCGUUGGCGUCAAAUAGACGUAAAACGGACUCCGUGCGACGCGAUGGCAGCUUAUAGCAAAGAAAUCUGCAAAACUGCAG
rnacentral:lncRNA from 1 species